AGUCGAACGAAGUAGCAAUACUUAGUGGCAGACGGGUGAGUAACAUGUAGGUAUCUGCCCUUUGGCCUGAAAUAACACGAGGAAACUUGUGCUAAUACCGGAUAAGUCUUUACAGAGAAAGCUUUAUGCACCAUUGGAUGAGCCUGCACUAGAUUAGUUUGUUGGUGGGGUAAUGGCCUACCAAGACUGUGAUCUAUAGCUGAUUUGAGAGGAUGAUCAGCCACAUUGGGACUGAGACACGGCCCAAACUCCUACGGGAGGCAGCAGUGGGGAAUCUUGCACAAUGGAGGAAACUCUGAUGCAGCGAUGCCGCGUGAGUGAAGAAGGCCUUUGGGUUGUAAAGCUCUUUCGUCGGGGAAGAAAAUGACUGUACCCGAAUAAGAAGGUCCGGCUAACUUCGUGCCAGCAGCCGCGGUAAUACGAAGGGACCUAGCGUAGUUCGGAAUUACUGGGCUUAAAGAGUUCGUAGGUGGUUGAAAAAGUUGGUGGUGAAAUCCCAGAGCUUAACUCUGGAACUGCCAUCAAAACUUUUCAGCUAGAGUAUGAUAGAGGAAAGCAGAAUUUCUAGUGUAGAGGUGAAAUUCGUAGAUAUUAGAAAGAAUACCAAUUGCGAAGGCAGCUUUCUGGAUCAUUACUGACACUGAGGAACGAAAGCAUGGGUAGCGAAGAGGAUUAGAUACCCUCGUAGUCCAUGCCGUAAACGAUGUGUGUUAGACGUUGGAAAUUUAUUUUCAGUGUCGCAGCGAAAGCGAUAAACACACCGCCUGGGGAGUACGACCGCAAGGUUAAAACUCAAAUGAAUUGACGGGGACCCGCACAAGUAGUGG
rnacentral:rRNA from 1 species